UACGAAGGGGGCUAGCGUUGCUCGGAAUUACUGGGCGUAAAGGGAGCGUAGGCGGAUCGUUAAGUUGGGGGUGAAAGCCCGGGGCUCAACCUCGGAACUGCCUUCAAUACUGGCGAUCUUGAGUAUGAGAGAGGUGUGUGGAACUCCGAGUGUAGAGGUGAAAUUCGUAGAUAUUCGGAAGAACACCAGUGGCGAAGGCGACACACUGGCUCAUUACUGACGCUGAGGCUCGAAAGCGUGGGGAGCAAACAGG
rnacentral:rRNA from 1 species